rnacentral:rRNA from 1 species
AUUGAACGCUGGCGGCAGGCCUAACACAUGCAAGUCGAACGGUAACAGAAAACAGCUUGCUGUUUCGCUGACGAGUGGCGGACGGGUGAGUAAUGUCUGGGAAACUGCCUGAUGGAGGGGGAUAACUACUGGAAACGGUAGCUAAUACCGCAUAACGUCGCAAGACCAAAGAGGGGGACCCUCGGGCCUCUUGCCAUCGGAUGUGCCCAGAUGGGGUUAGCUUGUUGGUGGGGUAACGGCUCACCAAGGCGACGAUCCCUAGCUGGUCUGAGAGGAUGACCAGCCACACUGGAACUGAGACACGGUCCAGACUCCUACGGGAGGCAGCAGUGGGGAAUAUUGCACAAUGGGCGCAAGCCUGAUGCAGCCAUGCCGCGUGUAUGAAGAAGGCCUUCGGGUUGUAAAGUACUUUCAGCGGGGAGGAAGGGAGUAAAGUUAAUACCUUGGCUCAUUGACGUUACCCGCAGAAGAAGCACCGGCUAACUCCGUG